AUUUAAAGAGGAGCAACGACAAAAUACUUCCCUACAGAAACAUACUGAUGCCCAUACGGCACACCACUGCAAACAACCACAUAAGACAUUUGAAAGAUGAAUGAUACAUAUUAUCCUUGUUAUAUUAUCAGCAUAUGACUUUAUUGUGAUUGAAAACACAUCAUUUUGUUCUUAAAUGACAGGCUGUGGUUCCUCCUGCGCGAGACAACAUGGCAGACGAAGCCACCAGGAAAGCAGUCUCUGAAAUACCGCUUUUGAAAACAAAUUCAGGACCAAGAGACAGAACUUUGAGUGCAGAGACUUCGAGAGGAAUAUUUAGCUCUAAUAAAGUAUGCUGAAAAUAACAAAGCAGCUGAUAAUGAUUGGUUUCGUCUAGAGUCCAACAAAGAGGGCACAAGGUCAAUUUUUUACUGCUGUUUUGAGACUUACAGGUCUGCAGAACAAAAUUGGGCUUUUCCCAAUCAGUGGGCAUUUUCAAACCAUUGGUUAGUUUAGAAAUGUAAGCGCAACGUAGUUUUAGCGGGAAGACUAGUAGCUGUACAUCAUCGCACCAUAAGCUAGGUAACUCCUAGCCAAUCACAUGUAAGCCAUUGCUUUACAUGUCUGCUCACAAUCUAUCACAUUGCUGUUUCAGUGUGUUAACACAGCAACCUCCACCACCCAACCACCACAGGUUGAGUCCCAUCCUGCACAGGGAUAGGCUCCUCGCCCCUGCCUCCUAUCUCCGGCAGGAUAUGACAGUUCCGAGUACAACUUCUUCGGACUGCCAGACAUGGCUUACGCCAAAGAGAGACAUUACAUUUCUGUGUUCUAUUCAUCAAAAAAUGUCAUCUUAAAUUUCAAUUAAGUCUGCGAGUCUUCCUGAUAGAAACGCCCACAGAUUUGAAAACACCCAUUAUUGUUCUGCAGAGUCCUUUACUUGGCUGUUUCUGCUGAUUAUAGGUAUAAUUUCUGAUUGAUGUCUCAGAGUUUAUCAUUGAGUAUUAAUGUAUCUUUUCUGCGCUGGUGGUUGGGAAAAUGCUGCUACAUCUAUGAGCUUCUCAAAUAUGAAUUUGACAUGGAAUUUGAUGUAAGACAUUUUUGACUUCACUCAUGUUUAAUAAUAAUUGGUCGUGUGAGUGAUUGUCUUCAUCCCAGUGUCCAGAUUCCAGUUACAAAUCCAGCCACAGUGCCUGAAGUGGCCAUUCCUGAGCUAGAUGGGAAGACAGCCAAGAUGUACAGGUUGGAACGUCUUAAAUUUUACAUUUCUUACAUAUUUUGUUGCCUUUUGUUAAGAAAGGAUCUUUGUUUUAUCUCAGAGGUGGCAAAAUCUGCUUGACAGAUCACUUCAAACCACUGUGGCCAAGAAAUGUACCAAAGUUUGGAUUGGCUCAUCUCAUGGCUUUGGGAGGAAGUAAAGUUGCAAAUGAAAUAUUAUGCCGUUUGUUUCUGAAAUAUUUAGUUAUGAAUUUAUUGCAUCUAAUAAACACUAAUCUCUGUUUUCUCCCAAGCUUGGACCAUGGCUUGCAGUUGAGAUUCCCGACCUCAUUGCAAAAGGCAUAACUCAACAUAAAGAUCAGCGAAACAGCUGAAAACAGUAGCAGUUUUUGCAUUUACCUAUGUCUUAAUGGUAUAACUGCGAGCACAAAUGACCGUGUUAACAACCGUUUGUUUGAGAUCAUGGCUUGCUGUCUUUGUGGUUUCAAAUUUCUUAUUUGCAACCUCACAGAAACUGUGUACUACACAUUCACAUUUUACAAAUGUACAUAGAUCUGUAUUUUCUAACCAUAGGCCAUGGUUGUUUCAAUAUUGCCAAGGUGUAUGUGAUGCCUGUUAUUUGUAGUAUGUAUGUUUUUCAUUAGUCAAUGCUGGUUCACCGAUGUGGAACAAUUUUAAUUUGUGAACUUUGGGGGUCAUCAUGAGGAUGACAAAUAACUUGCUCACACAGAUAACUUUAAGUCCAUUGAAUAUUAAAUUACACAAAGUGCAGGGAAGCCCCCAGGGUUUUAAUAAAGUUGCUCCAAUGACUGGGUUGCCAAUUCAUCAUUAGACUAACAAUUAGUUUCUAACACAACCAUUUCUUGCGAAUAUUUUUAAAUACUUGUAAGCAAAUGAUAAAAAUUAAAAACCAAGAAAAACUUGGCAAUAUGCAAGUAUUAAUGUCUAAAUAUAUUUACUUCUAAACCAUAGUUUAUAAUAUAAUGCAGAAUUAUCAUCUAUUCAAAUUUUUAUUUAGUGGUGAUAUGUGUGUGGUUGAAUUUGUAACAUUUUGAAUGGUUUAAUACCACAAAGUUUAGUGACCUUUAAAAUGUUACAAAUAAAAGCUGUUUAAGAUAUCAUCUGCUGAUAACAUAAAUGGAAUAACUGCAUCAUUUGUGAUUUUCUGAGAGGUGAUGGCUUUAGGCUAAGGGAUGCAUUUUUCCCCAUUCUGAUGGUUGAUGUGAACAUUACAUAUCUGCUUGAUUUUAUGCAUUGAACUGCUGCCAUGAUUGGAUUAUAGAUAAUUGCAUGAGUAAGUAGGUGUACAGUUAUUCCUAAUAAAGUGCAUAGUGAGUGUAUCUAUAUACUGUAUAUGCACAUUCACCGAUCAGCCACAACAUUAAAACCACCUGCCUAAUAUUGUGUAGGUCCCCCUCGUGCCACCAAAUCAGUGCCAACCCGCAUCUCAGAAUAACAUUCUGAGAUGUUACUCUUCUCACCACAAUUGUACAGAGUGGUUAUCUGAGUUACCGUAGACUUUGUCAGUUCAAACCAGUCUGGCGGUUCUCUGUUGACCUCUCUCAUCAACAAGUGUUUCUGUCCACAUAACUGCCACUCAUUGGAUGUUUUUUGUUUUUGGCACCAUUCUGAGUAAAUUCUAGAGACUGUUGUGCGUGAAAAUCCCAGGAGAUUAGCAGUUACAGAAAUAGUCAAACCAGACCACUUUGAGUGUAGUGUCAGAAAAGCGCUAUAUAAAUGUAACAUUCAUUCAUUCAUUCAUUAUUUGCUCUGCAAACACGAUACAGGCUUUGGAUUUUCAGGACACCGUUAUUUCAAGAUGACCAGAGCAACAUUUCAGCGAUGAUUGUUCCUCUGGUUAGUGCAAAAAUAUAACUCCUUUUUCACUGUACAUCUUGAAAUUGCAGUCUCUAGACAUGGUCAUGAUUUCAAGCUCGAUUACACUAUACCUUUAAUCAAGAACUUUUAAUGGUUCCCUUACAGUUGUUAAGGUAAAA